AUUCCAGCUCCAAUAGCGUAUAUUAAAGUUGUUGCAGUUAAAAAGCUCGUAGUUGGAUUUCUGCCAGGGUGCCAAUGUCCGCCGAAGUGCGUGCGCAGCGGCGCCCUCGCAUCCUUCUGUUAACGCCUCUCGGCAUUUACUUGCCGGUGGUGGGCUCAGAUAAUUUACCUUGAGAAAAUUAGAGUGUUUCAGGCAGGCUAGGCCGGAAUACAUUAGCAUGGAAUAAUGGAAUAGGACUACGGUCUCGUUGUUGGUUUGAGGGACUGGAGUAAUGAUUAAUAGGGAUAGUUGGGGGCAUUAGUAUUUAAUUGUCAGAGGUGAAAUUCUCAGAUUUGUUAAAGACUAACUUAUGCGAAAGCAUUUGCCAAGGAUGUUUUCAUUG
rnacentral:rRNA from 1 species